GUGUUUGCUUCAGCAGCACAUAUACUAAAAUUGGAACAAUACAGAGGUUAGCAUAGUCCUGAGCAAGGGUGAACACAAUGCUGUGAAGCAUUCCACAUUAAG